rnacentral:lncRNA from 12 species
GCAUAACUGUCGCUCAGAUUCACAUUUGAAGGUACACUGGUCUCAUCACUUCUUUUUAUUAACAGGGAUUUGCAGUGUCAUGUUUCUGAAUACCGUGCACGUGACCUCCAAAUAAGAAAACUGGUCUUGGCAGCAGUUGAUACUACUUCCAAGUACGCUUCCUCUCAAGUUUGUUUGUCUUCUGAGCUGGUUUGGGAGAGAAUGUAAAAGAUGUGGAAGAGAAACCUUAUUCUUCUCGGUUGGGUACAUGUUUGAUAUAAGAGAUUGUGGUCCGAAAACGUUUUAUAGCUGGCAGUCUCGUAACAUUUCAUCACUCCUGUUAGUGACCUAUCUUACCGCCUUGAUGAAUUAAGAGUUAUGAAGAUGCACUUAUCUUGGAGAAGGACUUAGAGUUAUGCUUCCUUAGCAAUUUGAAAUCUGUUGAAGUAUGCUAGGAUUGGAGGUGAAGUUCUGAGCAAAUGUAAAAAAAAAAAAAAAUCCUAUUCUGAAGAAAGCAUGGUUUUUAAAACUGUUUUUAGGACAAGUGGUCUCAUUCAUCUCUUUUGACUCCCUGACAAUGAAGUUAUUUACUUUGUGCUGAGAUAAAUCCAAGAGUACCAGUGAGUUGUGAAAUGUUAAUCACGCAGCUAUCACUGAAUUAUUGCUGAAUGCACUCGUUCUU